rnacentral:rRNA from 1 species
UACGGAGGAUCCAAGCGUUAUCCGGAAUUACUGGGCGUAAAGAGUUGCGUAGGUGGCAUUGUAAGCGAGUAGUGAAAGCGUUCGGCUCAACCGGAUACACAUUACUCGAACUGCAAAGCUAGAGGACGAGAGAGGUUAUUGGAAUUCCUAGUGUAGGAGUGAAAUCCGUAGAUAUUAGGAGGAACACCGAUGGCGUAGGCAGAUAACUGGCUCGUUUCUGACACUAAGGCACGAAAGCGUGGGUAGCAAACGGG